UACGGGGGGGGCAAGCGUUGUUCGGAAUUACUGGGCGUAAAGGGCUUGUAGGUGGCCAACUAAGUCAGACGUGAAAUCCCCGGGCUCAACCCGGGAACUGCGUCCGAUACUGGAAGGCUUGAAUCCGGGAGAGGGAUGCGGAAUUCCAGGUGUAGCGGUGAAAUGCGUAGAUAUCGUUUGGAACGCCAAUGGUGAAAACAGCUCGCUGGGGGUGUGCUGACGCUGAGACACGAAAGCCAGGGGAGGCGAACGGG
rnacentral:rRNA from 1 species